CAACAUCUUUGUUGGUGUGUGGUACUGAGGAUCGAACCCGGGCCGCACGCAUGCCAGGCGAGCACGCUACCGCUUGAGCCACAUCCCCAGCCCUAUCUCUGAAUUUUUAUGUGGUCACUAUUUUUAUUGUGGCUGUGAGUCUCCUUGUGCCUCCUUACAGAGCCUCUGGGAAGUGCCAUUACACAGGCAGAAUGUCCCAUUUCUACUUUAGGGAGGCUUAAGGGGUCAAGGCACUGCGUUGGAGCCCCAUGUGGCCCCACCUUGGCCCUGGGCCACCCCUGAGCACUGUGUGGGCUGGGCUGGGCCUACCCUCGUGGCCCUGCUAAGCCCAACACCUCCUGAGAGAGUGACAGUCUUCCUGCUGUGAGUCCCCUGCCAGCCCAUGGGGCUCAGCACUUGGGGGCAACAGGGAGGCCUGGCCUCUAAGGUCUCCAGGGAGUCCAGCCCCAAACUUAGGGUUUAUCCCAAAUGGCCAUCAGAGCAGUGAAGGAAGGACCACGUGGGCCUGGGGGCCUGUGUGCCCAGUGGAUGCUGCUGUGGUUCCCAGCCCCAGGUGGAGGAAGCCACCUUUGCCCCACUCACAGCUGAGAAGCUGAGGGUGGACUGACUGUUCAGGGCCCACGGCUGGAGAGCAUCCAGGGUCAGAAGGGAGAGCUGGGACUCUUACUGUCCGAUGUCAAGGCUCACCCGCAGCAGGGAAGACGGAGGCAGAAUAGAGCCAGGCACCGGCCACAGACCCAGGCCCAUUCAGAGAACCAUGGGGUGACGGGCAGGUCUGACAGGAUCCACUCCAGGAUUAUGGAAAUCUUGAAGCAGACAAGAUCCCCACCACAGGACAGCAUAGUGAGUUGUGAUGUCACACAGAGGGACAAAGUACCCCAGGUGCAGGGGAUGAGCCACAGAGUCAUUGGACGAAGGUUGACAAUGAGAAACUGAAUGAAUGAGGCCACAGAAAGCUGAGGCCUGGACAUACGUGACCUCUCAGUGCUUUAUAGGCAGGUGGUGGAGAAAUAGAGCUUCAUAUGCUUAAUAGAC